GAUGAACGCUAGCGGCAGGCUUAACACAUGCAAGUCGAGGGGCAGCGUGAGGGUUAGCAAUAACCCUUGACGGCGACCGGCGCAAGGGUGCGUAACGCGUGAGCAACUUGCCCUUAUCAGGGGGAUAACCGGUGGAAACGCCGACUAAUACCCCAUGGCAUCACAUAAAGGCAUCUUUUUGUGAUUAAAGAAUUUCGGAUAAGGAUAGGCUCGCGUGACAUUAGCUAGACGGCGGGGUAACGGCCCACCGUGGCGACGAUGUCUAGGGGUUCUGAGAGGAAGGUCCCCCACACUGGAACUGAGACACGGUCCAGACUCCUACGGGAGGCAGCAGUGAGGAAUAUUGGUCAAUGGGCGGGAGCCUGAACCAGCCAAGUAGCGUGAAGGAUGACUGCCCUACGGGUUGUAAACUUCUUUUGUUUGGGAAUAAAGACGCUACGUGUAGCGUUGUGCAUGUACCUUACGAAUAAGCAUCGGCUAAUUCCGUGCCAGCAG
rnacentral:rRNA from 1 species